ACCUUUGACAUGUACGGAGUGCCAGAGAUGGCUUCGUGACUCGAAAGAGAGCGUAACACAGGUGCUGCAUGGCUGUCGUCAGCUCGUGUCGUGAGAUGUUGGGUUAAGUCCCGCAACGAGCGCAACCCUUGUCAUUAGUUGCUACGAAAGGGCACUCUAAUGAGACUGCCGGUGACAAACCGGAGGAAGGUGGGGAUGACGUCAAAUCAUCAUGCCCCUUAUGACCUGGGCUACACACGUGCUACAAUGGCCGUUACAAUGGGAAGCUACAUCGCGAGGUGAUGCCAAUCCUGUAAAAGCGGCCAUGGUUCGGAUUGCAGGCUGCAACUCGCCUGCAUGAAGAUGGAAUCGCUAGUAAUCACUGAUCAGCAUGCAGUGGUGAAUACGUUCCCGGGUCUU
rnacentral:rRNA from 1 species